rnacentral:rRNA from 1 species
UACGUAGGGUGCAAGCGUUAAUCGGAAUUACUGGGCGUAAAGCGUGCGCAGGCGGUUCGCUAAGACAGAUGUGAAAUCCCCGGGCUUAACCUGGGAACUGCAUUUGUGACUGGCGGGCUAGAGUAUGGCAGAGGGGGGUAGAAUUCCACGUGUAGCAGUGAAAUGCGUAGAGAUGUGGAAGAACACCGAUGGCGAAGGCAGCCCCCUGGGUCAAGAUUGACGCUCAUGCACGAAAGCGUGGGGAGCAAACAGGAUUGAGAA